rnacentral:misc_RNA from 1 species
GUUAUUCACCAUUUGAUUGAUUAGUUACUGUACUGUCUUGCUGAAUGUUGGGUCAAUAUCUAGCAACAUUUUAGCUACUAAUGAAGGCUAUUAACAUUGUAGCAUGUAGCCUAAGUUUGUAGAUAUGUCUUCUGGUGUAGACCAAGCACCCACCAGUGACUAAUUGACUUAAGCAAACAUAAAUAACAGACUCUGUAAAGAC